rnacentral:misc_RNA from 1 species
AACAUCGCGCACCUGCGGGAACCUGCGGAAGGAUCAUUACACAAUACAAUAUGAAGGCUGUCCGCAGCUGGAGUAUUUUAUUACCCUUGUCUUUUGCGCACUUGUUGUUUCCUGGGCGGGUUCGCUCGCCACCAGGACCACCAAAUAAACCUUUUUUAUGCAGUUGCAAUCAGCGUCAGUACAAACAAUGUAAAUCAUUUACAACUUUUAACAACGGAUCU